rnacentral:rRNA from 1 species
UACGGGGGGGGCAAGCGUUGUUCGGAAUUACUGGGCGUAAAGGGCUCGUAGGCGGCCAACUAAGUCAGACGUGAAAUCCCUCGGCUUAACCGGGGAACUGCAUCUGAUACUGGAUGGCUCGAGUUUGGGAGAGGGAUGCGGAAUUCCAGGUGUAGCGGUGAAAUGCGUAGAUAUCUGGAGGAACACCGGUGGCGAAGGCGGCAUCCUGGACCGGCAUUGACGCUGAGGAGCGAAAGCCAGGGGAGCAAACGGG